rnacentral:tRNA from 1 species
GGUGGCUCAGUGGUAGAGUGCUUGCCUUGCAUGCAUGAGGCCCUGGGUUGAAUUCCCCAACACCA